rnacentral:lncRNA from 1 species
GUUCUCCGUUUUUGUAUGCUGCUAAGAAACGCGGCAGGCAUGACUCCAGUGUGGAUUUUGAUGGCUUCUGGUGGGCAGUUGUGUACCAGAAGGAUGACAACUACUGCUGUGGUGAGUUACUGAAAUUCCCUUGCAAGGGAAAGUUAGGUUGAAAGUCCCCUGAAUGUGCCACAAUGAUGAGAGUUUAUUUGCUACUCUUGACUGUGAGGAUGACGAGAAUUAUUACCACCAUUAUUCUAACUGAGGCACACGAAAUGGCUGUUCAGAGAGCGCAGAGAUUGCACCUACCUUGACAUGAAACUUUCUUCCCAGGUCUUAAAGCUCAAGCUUGAUGCUCUAUCUAUGAGCAGACAGCCAUUAAGCAGACUUGACUGGAAGUUGAAGAGGUGAACUUGAAUCCUUGACCUGUCAAAAGCAGUUGGCCUUUUUGAUGAUGGCUACAUGUUUUUUUCUAUGGAUGACUUCUUU